UACGUAGGGUGCAAGCGUUGUCCGGAAUUAUUGGGCGUAAAGAGCUCGUAGGCGGUUUGUCGCGUCGAAUGUGAAAACCCGGGGCUCAACCCCGGGCCUGCAUUCGAUACGGGCAGACUAGAGUUCGGUAGGGGAGUCUGGAAUUCCUGGUGUAGCGGUGAAAUGCGCAGAUAUCAGGAGGAACACCGGUGGCGAAGGCGGGACUCUGGGACGGUACUGACGCUGAGACGCGAAAGCGUGGGGAGCAAACAGG
rnacentral:rRNA from 1 species